rnacentral:rRNA from 1 species
UGGCUCAGGAUGAACGCUGGCGGCGCGUCUUAAGCAUGCAAGUCGAACGGCAAGAAGAGAGCUUGCUCUCUUCCUAGAGUGGCGGACUGGUGAGUAACACGUGGGUGACGUACCCUUUGGACGGGGAUAGCCGAUAGAAAUAUCGGGUAAUACCGGAUAAGGACACACAGGUUGGAGCUGUGUGUGGAAAGUAGCUACGGCUACGCCGAAGGAACGGCCUGCGACCCAUCAGCUAGUAGGUGAGGUAAGAGCCCACCUAGGCAAUGACGGGUAUCCGGCCUGAGAGGGUGAACGGACACAUUGGGACUGAGAUACGGCCCAGACUCCUACGGGAGGCAGCAGUGGGGAAUA